rnacentral:rRNA from 1 species
GAUGAACGCUGGCGGCGUGCUUAACACAUGCAAGUCGAACGAGAAGUGAAGACGGAAACCUUCGGGCGGAGGGCUUUAUUUCGAGUGGCGGACGGGUUAGUCACGCGUGGGUAACCUGCCUCAUACAGGGGGAUAACAGUAGGACACGACUGUUAAUACCGCAUAAGACACAGCACCGCAUGGUUCGGGGGUAAAAACUCCGGUGGUAUGAGAUGGACCCGCUUUAGAUUAGCCAGUUGGCGGGGUAACGGCCCACCAAGGCGACGAUCGAUAGCCGAGCUGGGAGGAUGACCGGCCACAUUGGAACUGAGACACGGCCCAAAAUCCUACGGAAGGGAGGAGAGGGGAAUAUUGCACAAUGGGGGAAAACCUGAUGCAGCGACGCCGCGUGAGUGAAGAAGUAUUUCGGUAUGUAAAGCUCUAUCAGCAGGGAAGAAAAUGACGGUACCUGAGUAAGAAGCCCCGGCUAACUACGUG